rnacentral:rRNA from 1 species
GAGUUUGAUCCUGGCUCAGGACGAACGCUGGCGGCGUGCUUAACACAUGCAAGUCAAGGAGAACAUCCCGCUUGCGGGAUUAUUAAACUGGCGAACGGGUGAGUAACGCGUAGGUAACUUGCCUUAAAGUUUGGGAUAACUUUGGGAAACUGGAGCUAAUACCGGAUAAUGCAGUUAAUUCUCAGGUGUAUACUGUUAAAGCGGGCUUCGGCUCGCGCUUUAAGAUAGGCCUGCGUCCGAUUAGCUUGUUGGUGAGGUAAAGGCUCACCAAGGCGAUGAUCGGUAGCUGGUUUGAGAGGAUGAUCAGCCACACUGGGAUUGAGAUACGGCCCAGACUCCUACGGGAGGCAGCAGCGAGGAAUCUUGCGCAAUGGGCGAAAGCCUGACGCAGCAACGCCGCGUGAGUGA